UACGUAGGGUGCAAGCGUUGUCCGGAAUUAUUGGGCGUAAAGAGUUCGUAGGCGGUUUGUCGCGUCUGCCGUGAAAGUCCGGGGCUCAACUCCGGAUCUGCGGUGGGUACGGGCAGGCUAGAGUUCGGUAGGGGAGACUGGAAUUCCUGGUGUAGCGGUGAAAUGCGCAGAUAUCAGGAGGAACACCGAUGGCGAAGGCAGGUCUCUGGGCAUUAACUGACGCUGAGGAGCGAAAGCAUGGGGAGCGAACAGG
rnacentral:rRNA from 1 species